GAAACAUCUUAGUACCCGGAGGAAGAGAAAGAAAAUUCGAUUCCCUUAGUAGCGGCGAGCGAAACGGGAAGAGCCCAAACCAACAAGCUUGCUUGUUGGGGUUGUAGGACACUCUAUACGGAGUUACAAAGGACGACAUUAGACGAAUCAUCUGGAAAGAUGAAUCAAAGAAGGUAAUAAUCCUGUAGUCGAAAAUGUUGUCUCUCUUGAGUGGAUCCUGAGUACGACGGAGCACGUGAAAUUCCGUCGGAAUCUGGGAGGACCAUCUCCUAAGGCUAAAUACUCUCUAGUGACCGAUAGUGAACCAGUACCGUGAGGGAAAGGUGAAAAGCACCCCGGAAGGGGAGUGAAAUAGAACCUGAAACCGUGUGCUUACAAGUAGUCAG
rnacentral:rRNA from 1 species